GACGAACGCUGGCGGCGUGCCUAAUACAUGCAAGUAGAACGCACAGUUUAUACCGUAGCUUGCUACACCAUAGACUGUGAGUUGCGAACGGGUGAGUAACGCGUAGGUAACCUGCCUGGUAGCGGGGGAUAACUAUUGGAAACGAUAGCUAAUACCGCAUAAUAUUGAUUAUUGCAUGAUAAUUGAUUGAAAGCUGCUAUUGCAUCACUACCAGAUGGACCUGCGUUGUAUUAGCUAGUAGGUGAGGUAACGGCUCACCUAGGCGACGAUACAUAGCCGACCUGAGAGGGUGAUCGGCCACACUGGGACUGAGACACGGCCCAGACUCCUGCGGGAGGCAGCAGUAGGGAAUCUUCGGCAAUGGACGAAAGUCUGACCGAGCAACGCCGCGUGAGUGAAGAAGGUUUUCGGAUCGUAAAGCUCUGUUGUAAGAGAAGAACGGGUGUGAGAGUGGAAAGUUCACACUGUGACGGUAUCUUACCAGAAAGGGACGGCUAACUACGU
rnacentral:rRNA from 1 species